GUACUGUGCCCUCCCAUGUUGGGAGUGAACUCAGUUAUUUAACUGAGUCCUAGCGCAGUCUGUAAGGCCAUAACUUCCUUGUUUUCAAAUUCCACACAGAUAGUUCAGUAUAGUAAAAGCAGAUUAACCCCAAAGAAAGGGAGAAAUGAUACAUCUGACUCCAUGAUAUUAGAAGGCUAAUUAAUUACUUUAUUGUACUCUAUUAUUCUAUAUGAUAUUACUCUAUAUUACACUACAUCUAAACUGAAUCUGCACAAGCAUUCAACUCCACUCGACUGCGCAGAAUCUUGUGACUGUCAGCUGACAGUCCCAACACACACACCUGGAUUCAAUUGGUCAAUGAAUCAAAACACUCACACCAGAAUCCAGUUACCAAUUCUCUUCAGGUAGACAAUCUUCCACAAUGCAUUCCACUUGUUCCAAAACAUAGGAGCAGUAAAUGAGAUAAGAAUUGUUUUCUCUUUCUCUGAGGUUCAGAGAAUGUGAAUUCCAGAAAAUCCAAGCUGUGCCUUGAUUUUCUCUGUGAAAAGAAAUGUGGCUACAGUUCAGUAACAGUACCAUCCUGUGAAUAUUCCCAGAGUGUCUUACAGCAAUCAAAAUAAGGAGAGCAAACUGGAUUUACACUUGGAAUAUGACAUCAAAGGAACAUAACAUUAAAAUUAUGUUCUUCAAGAUAUUUAAAUUUUCUUAGAGCCCUAGCCAUUUAAAAUGUAUAUUAUUGUAGUAUUUUAAUUUCAGCCUUUAUACAUUGUACUUAAUUUAUAUACAACUAUAAUGGUAUGUGAUACAGUCUCACAUACUGUUCUUGGGCUUGGAACUCAACUGUCUCUACCUCUGCAGUAUUAACACAGUGACUUUGGCUUUUUCCAUCUAACACUUUCCCAGGUGUAUUUUGGGUGCUAACACAAUGAGCAGCUUGCAAGAUUAUCUUGGCUUGAAGAGUAAGACAAUUUAGUAUCAUGUAUAUUACUAGUCCCAUUCUUGACUACCUGGUUUCCACUGCCAGGGAAUAAUCCCAAGCAUUUAGUUUACUAAUACAGGCACAGCCUCUUAAGUAGAAGACUCAUUAAUUUAUCUGGAUUGGAGCCAGAGUGCUCAGUCAUUUGUAUAAUCAAAUUCUAAAAAGAGGUAAUAAUAUCUUAAUUUAUAUUUUAUUAUUACUGAUUGCUCAUUAAUAUGUAAUCAAUCAAUCCUUUGCAUUUCUGAGUCAAUUUCUACAUGAAUUUAUUGCUCGCUAAGGAGUGCUGUAGGCAGUAUUCCAUAUAAAAGUCCUGACAUUGACAGCUGUGAAUUCACAAAGUGGGUAUCUGGUUCAAAACUGUCUUUUAGUUCCACCUGAACUCAAUAGGAUUUUGAGAAAAUCCUGCUAAACUGAGUGGGCAAAAAGGUGGCAGAUGGGCUUCAAUGUAAAUAAAUAUAUUGCCUAGGGAAAUUAGGGAUGCAUGAUUUAAUCCAUACUUAAAUGAUGCCAAAACCCCAAACUGUCACUUAAAACUCAAGGAUUGCUCUGAAGUCAUUAGCAAGAGUCCCAAGGCCAACAGAACACUGCCCAUCAUCAGAGAAGGAUGACAAAGGGACAAAGGACAAAACAGGAAGCUUCUUUUUGCAGCUGAUUUUGUUCUGUAAAAGCCUGACAUGCCCUGUCUCAAGAAUGUUCUUCUGGCCUCUGUCUCUCAAGAAGGACUUUGAGAAGUAAGAGAUGGCCACCAAAAAUGUGAAAAAGAGGAGCUGCUUCAUAAGGAGAAACUGGACAGACUGAGACUCUUGCAUCUGUACAGAGCAGUCUGAGGAGGUUAUAAUCAAGAUUACAGAAUCACCAGAUCCCGUUGUACCUGAACUAGGAGGCACUCUCUGAAGCUGCUGGGGACAGAUCUGGCAAUUUCACCUGCAGAUACUGGCUGUGGAUGUGGGAUCUUCCUGGAUUGCACCUUCUGCUGCCAUCACAGGAAAAAAAGUCUUGGGCUAGAGGGACCAGUGGUUUGAAGAAGCUUGGUAAUAUGUUGCUAAGUGUCCUCUGCAGUUUGCUGUAAAAGAUGGCACUAGAUUCAAGAGACCUUUGGUGUGGUUUGGUACACUUCCACUUUCCUUGUUAGCUAUCACUUCCUGAUUUCAUUAAGACUCCUCAGACUGCAUUUUUGACAACCAUAGGGCCACUAGAAAGGGCUUUACAAAAGGUAUUAAAACUUCUGAAACCCUCCAGGCAGAUGGGUCUCUCUUGAAACUUUGUGAUUUAUUCUGCAGAAGAAGAACAAGCAAGCCCCCGGAGUGGAAGCAGGGGUUAGUCACUGUAAGAGAAACCCAAAUGUGAACAAUUCUUUUAAUGAGGAAAGGAGAUUUAAUGUAUGUCUUCAUUGCUUGAGAUAACACACUUCCCUUUUACUUCUGCAGAGCACAUAGGUUUUACUGGCUGUGACUGAGAAGCAGUUCAUUUUCUAGGCAAUUUCUACAAGAAAGAAAGUCAAAUAAUUGUAUAUAUUUUAUUUUAUUUACACAUUAGAUCAGUGAGUUUAUUUAAUUUCUGGUAUAGCAGCCUGAAAAGAGAAAGAAUUCAAACAUAAUAGUCUUUAAUGGGGUAAUCCUAAUAGAAUAAUAUGCAAAGCAAGAGACAUAAUUUUCAGAGCAACUUGAAAAAGAGAUUACAAGCUGGUACUUCCAGUAGGAAUACAUAAGAGAAAUACAUUUUUGUUUUCUGGUGAAAUCCUGUGUCCAGUAGUGUCUGAAUUUGAUACUUAUUAGAAACAAAGGAAAAUUAUUGAUUGCAGGAUUCGCCAAUAAUUAAUCAGACCAACAAAACACACACAUUUAGCUUCUCUCAGUUCAGAGGAAAUGGAGUAAUAGAUAUAGCUUCUCUUAGCCCAGCAAUGAUCAGUCUGUAUUCUGAAACUUUUUAUUUAUUUCACCUUUAACUCAAUGGUAAUGACAAAAUGGGUAAUAAAAUUACCCAGCUUCCAAAAAUACGUAUGUCUGUCCAGAUGCAGUAGCAACAGGGGGCAGCAGAUCUUCAGUUGUCAUAGAUCCGCAACUGAGGCUCAGCUACGACAGUUUGCACAAGCCCAGUUGCUGGAUCCCUCUGGUGGAUUUUCCUCCUAGCUUGUCUCAUUGAUUCCUUGCACCUGUGUAGUAGACCAGAGCAUAGCAGAUGUUGCUUUCAGCAAAGAAGCAAUCUUUUCAACAGUCAUUGAAACAACUUCAUAAAUAUUUCCUAAAGCAGUUUUGGGCUUAGAUUUCUGCAGGAUGGGAGCCUCAGUACACAUUUAUCCCUGCAGUCCCUCCACACCCACUCUCCUCUAAUUGUGUGGUAGAGAGGGAAACGUAUCUCAUAUGACAGUAUUUAUAUUGUAUAAAUAAGUCAUUAAGUCCAAAGCCAGCCCUCAGUUACAGUGGAAUCACUGUCUGAGAUGAAAUGUCAGUUGUGCUUAGAUCCUUUAGUUCUCAACUCCCUGAUAGUUUUAAUCUGCUGAUCCAUGUUUGGAUACAACAAUCCUGUGUAUUUUCAACAUAAUUCUGUCAUGAUCUGCUGAAAGAAGUUUGGAAAAGCUUUUCCAGUGGUUUUCAGACAAAAGCUGUUGACAAUUACACCUAGAUGCCUUGUUAAUGUCAAUUGCUUAGCAAAGAUAAAAUUACUGUCCAGGUUGCUGUAUGCAAGUUCUUCAUGAGGAUUGAGCUAGACCUCUGGAGUUCAAUGAAUAUUUGGGAUAUAGCAUUUGUUCAUUUCAAAAACUAAUAUUGGAAAUGUAGUAGAAUCUGAAUGAAUCAGACUACAUUGCUACCUUGUGCCUUUCA